AACAGAGAAUGCGUGGUGUGACCGAAGGUCUCCUGCUGGUGUGGAAGGGUGGCAGCCUCCCUCUGCAGCUUUGCCCGGAAGCUGGUUCCCUGGACUACUGCUUCUCAACACUCCCAAGGAGCUCCCUUUGGCUGUAAUGACCCACCGGCCUCCUCUGUAUGAACAGCACGGGUGGAACUCUUGAUGUUACUUCUUCCCCCGUUGAAUAAGCCAGAUUCUCUUUCUUCUGAGAAAUAGUUGAAGUCUUUUGCAGUGUACGUACGCAAAAUUACCUAACGCUGUUAAAUUUUUCGUACAACAGUUUCACCUGGAAGAGAGGCCAUUGAAACCAAGCAUUUGUGUUCAAGUAAGAAAAGGUAUCCAAGUCACAAAGAAACAUAAUUUGGCUUUUGGAGACAUGGGCAGCUUCAUUUCUCAAUUGUUCGUUCGAAAGUCUCCACUGGGCUUCUAAGUGCCACAUCCUGGCCAGAAUGAUGAAAGAUACAGAAAAUGGUGCCUGCUGACCUUCUGGAGUUAUUGACUAGUAAGAAAGGUGACAGCUGCAGGUGACACGAGAACGCUUCCAACAGGGUGUGUUCCUGCCUUCACCAGUCAGCUGCAACAGGCAGGCACAGGCUGCUUCUGAGGCUGUGUAGCCAGGGCAAUACCUCACGGAGCUUCCUGUGGCCACAGCAGCAGCAGCAUCUGCGAGCUUGAAAGGGGACGAUGAGUGAGACUUUUGUCCACAGUUCUUGGUUGAGCCGCCACAAGCAGACGGGAAAGGCUGAGAAAGAAACCAUUCCUCCCUGGGUGGGGACGCUUGAAAUUCCCUUUCAACCAAGGGGAGGCCACAAGCACCCUGUUCAUACCUGCGUGCAGAUGCCAGCGCCUGGCUCGUUGGUGACCAGCAAGGGUCCCAGCUGAGCCGGGGUGCUGUCCUGUGGCUCUAGUGGAGCGGCCACAGGAUGCCGGAGAGAUGAUUCAAACAUCAUUUAGAUGGGGGAGCCGCUGAAAUAGACUUGACAGUUUAUUUUGCUUAGUAGAAAAAAAUUUAAAAAUUGUCAGCUACUAUCACCAUUUUUUAAAUAAGAUUAAAAAAUGUAUUUUACAAAAAAAAAAAAAAAGGUAAAAAUGAGCAGCUCACCAUGUCGCACUUCUUCCACCCCAGCGCCAACGCCCUCACUCAGCCGUGGUCCAGCCAGAAGACAAGGUCAGAUAAAACAACCACAAAGAAAAAAAAAACCAAAAAACCUUUUUCUAGAGUGGCUGGGAAUGAGGCCACCAUGACAUCUUCCCCUGAAUCGGUGCCAUCGUGGUUUUGAAGUGUGAUGGUCACUCAGCUCAGGAGUCCCCGCUAUGUGAGCCUGUCCACCACUGUCCACCCUUGGUGGAAGAAGACCCUGAGCACCCCAAAACAUGACAUCCUUAUUUUCAGGAACAUGUAACUGAAAUUGAGCCCUUCCUUUCUUUAUGAAUAUAGGCACUGUCUUAGUUCCCUGCGGCUGUGGUAACAAAGUGCCUCAAACUGGGUGGCUUAAAACACAGACAUGUGCUGUCUCAGGGCUCCGGAGGCUGGAAGUCUGAGACCGGAGUGUCAGUGGGGUUGGUUCUUCUGGGGGCUGUCAGGGAGCAUCUACUCCAGGCCCUCCCGCAGGCUCUGGGAGGGGCUGGCUGCCUUUGGCAUUCCUUGGCUGGGAGACACAAAGCCUUGAGCCCUGCCUUCCUCUUCACACUGUUUUCUCUGUUUGUGAGUCUGUGUCCAAAUUUCCCUGAAGGAAUACCCGUCAUAUGGGUUAGGGAUCCCCCAGUGACCUCAUUGAAACUUAGUGUGGAGCCUGUCUCCAAAUAAGGUCACAUUCUGAGGUAUUGGUGGUGAGGACUUUAACAUGGGAGUUUUUUGGGAGGAGGCCCUCACCCACCGUAGUAGAACUUGUGACUUUGUCACCGAUAGAAAUCACUUAUUUUCACAUCACACCGUAGUAGCAGUGGACAUCUCCAAAUACUGGCAAAGCUAGUCCUGCCUGCAAAGUUAAGGUAGUUUUUUUUUUUUUUUUUUUUUUUUUUAAUCAGAUCCAGAGCUGGAAAUCAUUAUUAAAUGAGGCAAUGAUGAAGUGUGUAUAUUAUUCUGGCUCACUUUUAAAAAUAUUUUGAUCCAUUUAUUUCAACAUAAUUGAUUUCCCCUGUAAUUCUGUAUGUUUUGUAUUAUGCAUGUAAAAACGUUAUUCAGAGGAGUUCACAGGCUUCACCCAACUGUGUUGAAAGGACCCAUGAUGUAAGGACGUUUGUGGGGGAGCUCGUGGCUCCUUAACUGGCUCUGGAAAGAGCCUACUUCGCAUAGUGAACCCUGUGAGGUCCAGUUCUGUUCCUCCCCGCUGGAGCUCCAAGAGAAGGUCAUUGUCCUUGUAGCAGCAGGUGCCCCCCAGGCUGCGUUCUCACUGCAGGUGCCAGCGGGCUCUCAGUAGGUGUGACCUGGAUGUGAGUGGUGAGCCAGGAGUGAGGCGCUCAGCACCUUCUGGACCACACUUCCCACUCUCCCUGGGGUUCAAGUCAGGCCAUGGAAAGUGUACACCCUGCUUGUCAUAUAACUGGACAGGUGGUGGGCAGAACGCCUCUGGCAAGGUAGACCUUGAAGGCAAAACUGACUUGAGGUUUGUUAGAAGUUCGGACAGAAAUAAUUACCGUUGGGCAUGCAGCGCCUCCCAACCGUUCUGUGAGGCAGGCAGCGUUAUCGCCAGUUUGGCACAAGGACACAGGUGUAGAACCUGUAAGUGCCCUGGGCAGUGCUACACCACCACUGUGUUUGAGCUGAGAUGUGAACCAGGGCCUUCUGAUUCCAGAUUCCUCAUUCCUUUCAUCCUAGCAGGCUGCCUGCGGUUAGCAAAAGGGGACUCCUGUAUCUGCUCUGCAGCUUCUUCAGCUGAUUUAUAAUGGAAAACAGAGUAGAUACUGAUUUGGCAAUUAAUGAAAUAUUAUGAGAAUCAUCAUAGCAAACCUCACAGUUUAAUCAAGGAUCCUGCCUUCCGUAUCUGGCCAACUGAUGUAUAAAAGCAGCUGCGAGAACUUCAGAGCUGACAAAAAAAGCAAACUCCAGACUUUAUUUCCUGGAAUCUGUUUUGUGAGACACUGGCCCAUGAAGUGCUCUCCCAAAAACAGUCGGAUUUGUAGUCAAAUAAAUUUGGGCAGUU